GAUGAACGCUGGCGGCGUGCCUAAUACAUGCAAGUCGAGCGAACAGACGAGGAGCUUGCUCCUCUGACGUUAGCGGCGGACGGGUGAGUAACACGUGGAUAACCUACCUAUAAGACGGGGAAAACUUCGGGAAAGCGGAGCUAAUACCGGAUAAGAUAUUGAACCGCAUGGUGCAAUAGUGAAAGACGGUUUUGCUGUCACGUAUAGAGGGAUCCGCGCCGCAUUAGCUGGUUGGUAAGGUAACGGCUUACCACGGGAACUAUGCGUAGCCGACCUGAGAGGGUGAUCGCCCACACUGGAAGUGAGACACCCUCCAGAGUCCUACGGGAGGGCGCAGUCGGGAAUGGUCCGCAAUGGGCGAAAGCCUGACGGAGCAACGCCGAGUGAGUGAUGACGGUCUUCCGAUCGUAAAACUCUGUUAUUAGGGAAGAACAAAUGUGUCAGUAACUAUGCACGUCUUGACGGUACCUAAUCAGAAAGCCACGGCUAACUACGUG
rnacentral:rRNA from 1 species